UGGACGCAAGUCUGACGGAGCAACGCCGCGUGAGCGAAGAAGGUCUUCGGAUCGUAAAGCUCUGUUGUAAGGGAAGAACAAGUACCAGAGUAACUGCUGGUACCUUGACGGUACCUUACCAGAAAGCCACGGCUAACUACGUGCCAGCAGCCGCGGUAAUACGUAGGUGGCAAGCGUUGUCCGGAAUUAUUGGGCGUAAAGCGCGCGCAGGCGGUCUCUUAAGUCUGAUGUGAAAGCCCCCGGCUCAACCGGGGAGGGUCAUUGGAAACUGGGAGACUUGAGUGCAGAAGAGAAGAGUGGAAUUCCACGUGUAGCGGUGAAAUGCGUAGAGAUGUGGAGGAACACCAGUGGCGAAGGCGACUCUUUGGUCUGUAACUGACGCUGAGGCGCGAAAGCGUGGGGAGCAAACAGGAUUAGAUACCCUGGUAGUCCACGCCGUAAACGAUGAGUGCUAAGUGUUAGAGGGUUUCCGCCCUUU
rnacentral:rRNA from 1 species